rnacentral:lncRNA from 1 species
GCAGGUGGAGGAGGCGCCCAGGGCGGCAGGUGCUGGGGCGCUCACCUGGGGGACAGCGGUGACGAAAACGCCAGUGUUUUAGAGGCAAACGAGGGAUCUGGGAUACGACAUUGACAGGGAAAAGCCUGAAAUUUUGGCAUGGCCAACUCAGAGUGUGGAGUCAACGCAGGCAUCUAAUCUUAAUUGUGAUCUAAAGUAAUUCAAAUAAUGGAGGAACAGUUUCUUCGGACAAAGGCAGCAGUAAGCUAAAAACAAAAUCAACUGGCUGAAUUUUCCUUCUUUACCUGAAAAACAAAGUACAGAACAGGCUGUAACAGCUCCUCAGA